CCUACGAGUGGCAGCAGUGGGGAAUAUUGCACAAUGGGGGAAACCCUGAUGCAGCGACGCCGCGUGAGUGAAGAAGUAUUUCGGUAUGUAAAGCUCUAUCAGCAGGGAAGAUAAUGACGGUACCUUAGUAAGAAGCCCCGGCUAACUACGUGCCAGCAGCCGCGGUAAUACGUAGGGGGCAAGCGUUAUCCGGAUGUACUGGGUGUAAAGGGAGCGUAGACGGCAUGGCAAGUCUGAAGUGAAAGCCCCGGGCUCAACCGCGGGACUGCUUUGGAAACUGUUAAGCUGGAGUGCAGGAGAGGUAAGUGGAAUUCCUAGUGUAGCGGUGAAAUGCGUAGAUAUUAGGAGGAACACCAGUGGCGAAGGCGGCUUACUGGACUGUAACUGACGUUGAGGCUCGAAAGCGUGGGGAGCAAACAGGAUUAGAUACCCCAGUAGUC
rnacentral:rRNA from 1 species